GGUUAUAUAGCUUAAAGAGAGUAAAGGUUUUGUAAUCCUUUGGUGUGAAAUUAUAUUACUAUAACCU
rnacentral:tRNA from 1 species